CCUAAGGCACACAGGGCACAGGGCAUGGGUUAAAUACAUCUACCACGCAUUACGUUCACAAAUAUUAGCAGAACACCAGAGAUAAAUUAAAUGAGUAAUAUUGAUAAGAAAAAUAUAUGUGAUUGACUCGGUAUAGAUACCCAGUUGACUCGCUAAUCUUUUUCAUUAAACAAAUAGUUUCAAAUUUCAGUUCGAACUGAAUGAAAUGAAACGUGCGCUAGAAUUGAAAGUAUGAGAAAAACAAGGUUUCCAAAAGCCAGCUGCAAAACGGGAAAUUCAGGAUACAGGAAUAUCAGGAUCGUGCAAAACCCCAUAAAUUCAAAAAUUGAAAACCAUGAAACGAGAAAUCAGGUAAAUUAAUACUAUACCCUACAUAUUCACCCCUUAGAUGAUUGAAAUUUUAAUUUCGUUUCUUCAUUCAGAUUUCGCGUGAACCAAACGGCAGGUAGAAGUGCUCAAAGAAAAAAAAAUCAAAAUUGCCUCAGUCCGUUGCAUUCCUAAAAUAUCAGAACCUCAUCAACCACAAGAUUCCAAAUUCCCUUUCCUUUUUUCCAAACAGAAACUAAACUCUUUUCCAAAGUCAAAUCAAAAUUUACCUCUAAUGCCCGCAUUAUUUAGCAAAGCAUCGAUACGUCCAAAGGCCUCCCAAGCCUUCUGAACGGAGGCGCCGAUUGAGGAGCCAUCGCUGGUGACGUCAAGUUCGACUGCUACGGCUCGGAGAGGCGGAUCAGCGUUUGGAGGAAGGUUCGAGUGGGUGAGGUUGUUGAUCUCGUCGCAGAGAGACUUGAGUCGGUCAACUCGGCGGGCGGCCGCCACGAUCUUGCAGCCGGCUUUGGCGAGGUUGAGGCAGAACUCGCUGCCGAGACCCGAGGAAGCGCCGGUGACCAUGACCACCUUGCCCUCCAGGUCUUGCCAUGGCUCGAGGUGGUUCGCGACUUGGGACGCCAUCAAUGUGGUUGAGAGUCUCUAGAGAAAGUAGGCACCAGCUUUUAGAGGGAAAAAAAGUAAAGCAAAGAAAAUUUGAUAAGAUGAAAAUAAAUAAUAAAUAAUUAAAAGGGGAAAUAAACUCCUCUAUAUAUUCUAUUGCGACAUUGCGUGAUCAAAUUCCAUUUGUUUAUGUAUCGCCUUUGUAGUGAAUCUAGUGAUGAUGCCAUCGGAUUGUUUGCAGUGAAUUGUCGGAAUUGUUUUUAGUCAUUCUAAUAAUUAAAAAUAAAAAUUUUCAAAUAUUAAAAAUUAAAAAAUUUUAAAUAUUAAAAAUGUUAAAAACGCUUCCUAUAAUAAUUGUUAAAUAGACUCUAAGAGUAUAUUUGAAAGUAAUUCUAAAAAAUAUUUUUAGUAUUUUUAUUAAUGUGUUUUUAAGUAUUAAAAAUAUUAAAAAUACUUUCUAAAAUCACUAUCAAACUAAAAGUGCAUUUAAAAGUAAUUUUAAAAAAUAUUUUUAACAUUUCUAAUACUUAAAUAAUAAAAAACUUCAAGUGUUAAAAAAAUUUAAAACAUUCCAUAAAAUCACUACCAAAUAGAGUCUAAGUUUGUGAAGGGAUCAACACUUAAUAAGUCAUAUUUUAUUAUACAUCUUUCUAAAAUUAGUAUUAAGAAACCAAUUUUUCAGUGUCCAAUAAUUUUCCCUAUUGGUAUAAUUUUCUAAUUACGUAAAAUAAAAAUGGUCAUCAAGGGAAAAUAAUUUUUGAGAACAAACUUUUGCUUAUGAUUUUUUUAUUAUUACUCAAAAAGAGCAUAUUUUAUAUAAUAAUUAUCACGAAUUUCAUAUCUUUUGAGUAGUAACUAUACCUAAAACACUCAAUUAACAUGUUUUUACUUUUGCAAGAAUUACUAAAAAGUCUUAUGAAGUUUUGGGGUAAUUUCAAGGUAUGUUUUUUAUAAAUAGGUGACAAAAGAGAUGAAUCAAAUUAAAGAAAACAAAUAAAGUUGAUGAUGAUCCAAAUGCAUAAUGAAAGAGGCAAUCCAAUCAGUUUGGAUUGGGAUUUGGAGGUAGUUGAAGUGGAAUCAAAAUGAAGAAAUGAGAGAAAUUGCAAAAAGAAGUUGAAAAACCAUGUUUUUCAAUUUCACAUAAACACGAGAAAAAUUCGCACAGUCAUGCAAAUUGAAAUAGAAUGGACUUUGGCUGCAGCACACAAGGGGAAAAGUGAAAAUUGAUUUCGCAUGACCAUACGAAACGCUCCAAGAAGACGAAAAUGGUGCUGAUGGAUUUUCCACUUCGCACAAUCGUGCGAAAUUGUUGGAGCUCAUGCGAAAUUGUUGGAGCUCGUGCGAAAUUGCAUCUUUUCCAAAUUUCUUGAUGAAAAAGUCUCCGGAAGACCUUUUAGAUGAUGCCAAGUGUCCACUUGACCUUGGCCUAUAAAUAGAAACUUGAUUUACUCAUUUAGGGAUUUUUGAUACAUUUCCUAAUUGUAGAAUUUUCCAAAUUUCUUCUCUCUAUAUAAUUCUCUACUUUCCUUCAUUUUCUCUCAUUUUCUCGGUAGCCAAACAUGUCUUGUGAGAUCAAAUCUCAAAGUAUGAGUGGCUAAAUCUUGUUUUUCUUGGAAGAGAAAGGAUAUAGAGAUAAGAUCUAUGGUGAAUUAGAGAAAUGAGAUUAAAUUGCAAAGGUAAUUUGAUCCAAUUGAUUGAUUAAUUGAAAUUUUGAGAUUUUUCUCUUCAAAUUGUCUUGGAUGAUUACGACAAUGUAAGUUAGGUACAUUCAUCAAAUUCUUAAAGUUAGAUUUGAUGAGAUUGAAUAGUUACAUUGUGUGAAUCAUUGGCAGAUAAUUUAAGAUGAAUUGAAUAUAUGAUUUGAAUUGAUCUCUUAGAUUAAACGACCUAAUUUGAAGAGAAAUUAGAUCUAAACCUAAAGUCAAAUCAAAAAUCGGUUUAGAUGAAAAUUUAGGUUUUCAAUCUAACUUGAUGAAAAUUAGAUCUCAACAUCUAUUCACCAUGGAAAUUGUUUUCUAGAAAAUCCUAACUCCGAGAAUUUUAUCUCCUAUUAAUUUUCUUUUAUUUUACAUUUUAUUUUUCUUCUCAAUUUUAGACCAUUGUCAAAUUAAUUUUUCAUCAUGAAUUUUCAAAUCAAUUUCACUUGAUCACAAUCAUUUCUUAUCCUUUCAUUCAAGCCUUAAUUACCGAGAAUAAUCCAUCCUAGUGGACGACACCUAAAAACCACUAUAUUACAGUAGUUUGUACUAAAAUUGUUUUUAAUCGGGUACAAUCUACUUUAGAAUAGUGAAUUAGGUUAUAAAUUUUGUUUUGAUCAAAUAAAUGACAAAAAUCUAAGCGAUCAAUUUUGUAUAUAAAAAAUAAUUUUUUUCACUUAUUCUCGAUAAAACUUAUAAUGUAAAAGUUUUCAAAAUAUUUUUUUAAUAUUUUUUCUUUAUUUUUUGAAAAAUUUUGAUAAAUAAAAUAUGAAAAUACUUUUAAAUUAUUUUUAAAAUAACCUAUUUUCACAACAACAUUUUGAAAAAAACUUUUUUUAUUUUCUCAAAAUUUGGUCAAAUAUAUUCUCUAAGUUGGAGAGUGUCUAAUAUCCUUGUAAAUGUAUUUGGACAAAGUUUUGGAUUUUUAUUAUUUACUUUUGCUUUUAACAGCAAAACUCACUUUAAAAAUCCAAAAAAUAAAAUGAGUUUGGAAAACAAAAUCCAAACUUUAAUCAAAUUUAAAUCCUUUAAUUUUCUCAUUUGUUAAAAGAAUCUCAUAUUUUAUGCCAUUGAUGAAUAAGAAAAAACUUCUUACAUCUCUUAUAAGAAUCAUCUAUCAAUAUUUGAGUAUAUUUUUUUUUAGUGAUGCAUGGUGUUAAUUGAUUGAACUAAAAUUGUAUAAUAAAACCUGUCAAUAGGGAUGACAAUUUAGACACGACACGAUAAUGCAAUUUGAAAAUGAUUGGAUUGUUAAUGUGUUUGGGUUUGCAUGUGAUUGUGUUGUGUCUUAAUAAACAUGUCUUAUUUGGGUUUUCAUUAUUCACCUUGUUUAUGAUUUAUUUGCUUAAUUGUAUCAAAAUAAUUUAUUUAAUCCAUAUAAAUUUAAUAAUUUUAUACAUUCCAAUUAUAAAAAUAAUAAAUACUUUGUUAAUUAUAAAUAUCAUAUAGUAAAAACAUUAAAUAACUAAAUAAAAUUACAUUUGAUUAGUAAGAUUAAAAAUAGUUUAUAGUUAAAAUUUUAAAUAAAAUAAUAAGUAAAUGUAAAAAUUAAAAUAUUAUCCUACUUUUUAUAUUAUGAUCAAAAUUAAAUAAUUACAUUAAUUAAGAUUAAAAAUUAAAGCAAAUGAAAAGUAUUUUAGAAUAAUAUAUUUAUAAAGUUAAAUUCCAAAAUAGGUUAAACGGGUUAUAAUCAUGUUAACUAGUUAAAAUCAUACUAAUGGAUUAUUAUGUCCGAUUUAACCCAUUUAUUAAAUGAGUUAAAUGGGUUGUAUUGAGUUACCUAUAUAAUAAAUGAGUUGUGUUUAUGUUGAAUGUUUCCGACAUGAUUAUUAAAUAAGUCAUAUUUAAAUUAAAUAAAUUUUUACUAUUUUUUUUUUACUUUGAAGACAUUGCCAUCCCUACUUGCUCACAUGCAUUUAAACAAAAAAAUCUUGUAAUUUUCUCUCCAAUCCUUAUCAUUUUUCCCAUCGGCAAGUUCCCUAUUAGGAAAAGAAAUUCCUUGUAUACAUCUCUCAUCCCCAUUCAUGGUCUUUGAAUUCAUAUUUAAAAUUUUCAAAUAUAUAUAUAUAUAUAUAUAUAUAUAUAUAUAUAUAUAUAUAUAUAUAUAUAUAUAAACUAAUAUAUUUUAUAGUGAAUAUGAUAAUUUUUAAAAAAAUAAAUAAAUAUAAAAUUAUAUAUAAAGAAAUAUAUUUAAUAUUAUAUGUAUAUGGUUUGGGUGGGUUUUGGAUAGGGAAUAGUUUCAUUUCCCUGGUCGAGGUUCCCCAUCCCUAAUCCGACUCCAUUAGGGAUGGAUUCCCCAGGGGCACAACUUGGCUGGUUUUUUAUGCCAUCCUUGCUGGAGGGUGGGUUGGGAACUGUUGCCCAAAGCAUGGCCCAUGGGCCCCAACAUUGGCAAAAUCUUGAAACCCUUUAAGAUUAAGCUUGUUAUCUGUUUAUGUAUAUGUGCCGCCAUUUAGAUUGCAGGCCUAAAAAACUUAUAUAGUUUAUGAAGACAUGACCCAACAGGCCCAUCGGGCCACUUGUAUUCCUCUUUAACUUGACACCAAAAGCGCAUUUGGUCGGGUUGAGCUUCAUAUUGUAUGCUUUCAUUAGGCAAAAUGUUUCCUCUAAGUGUAGGACGCGUUUGCUCUGGGUUUUGUUUUUUACCACAAUAUCAUCAAUAUAGACUUCUACGGUUCGGCUGAUCAAGGGUUUGAAGAUUUUUGUCAUCAACCUUUAAUAAGUGGUUCCAACAUUCUUAAGCCCAAAUGGCAUAACCCUAUAGCAGUAUAAUCUGUGCAGCAUCACGAAGGCGGUUUUCUUUUCAUCCGGUUGGAACAUCGGGAUCUGGUGGUACCCGGAGAAUGUGUCUAUGAAAGAGAGCAUCUCAUACAUGGUAGUGGACUCAACUAUCUGAUCUAUUCGAGGUAGAGGGAAGCUAUCUUUCAGGCAAGCAUCAUUCAGGUUGGUGUAAUCAACACAGACUCGCCACUUUCCUCCUUUCUUUGGAACAACCACUACAUUCGCCAACCAAUCCAGAUAUUAUACUUCCUUGAUAAACCCGAUUGUCAGCAACUUGUCCACAUUGAAUUGGAUGAUCUUUUGCUUGUCUGGAUGGAAGCGUCUGACUUUCUGGCAAACGGGUCACGAGGAAGGUAUGAUAUUGAGUCGAUGUAAGGCUACCGAUGGAUGGAUUCUGGGCAUAUCAAAGUGAGUCCAUGCGAAAACAUCCUUGUUCUACUAAAGCACUCCUUCGAGUAAUUUUAAUUCUUUUAGUGCUAGGAGAGAGCUAGCAUAGGUAACACGAUCACUGCUACCUGAGAGAUGCAAGGGUUGGAGCGAGUCUGCUGCUGACAGAUCUUUUUUCGUCAGGCUCUGUAAUUGCUAUUGCUCCUUCGUAUUUGUCAGUCUCGUGUGUGGCUCACUGUUGCUUGGGAGUCCGAAAUUGAGUACCGCUUGAUAGCACUAGCACGUAGCCAACUUACUACCAUAAAGGUCGAUUUGUCCGUCCUCGGUGAGGUAGCUUACCAUCUGAUGAUACGUAGAGGGAAUGACUUUCAUGUUGUGAAGCCACGUGCGCUCCAUGAUGGUGUUAAAAUGGGAUAAGUCCUCUACUAUCGAGAACUGCACAUUCUGGGUGAUCAUACCAACUUGGACGGGUAAUACGAUGUCACCUAAAGACGUUGUCGUUGUCCCAUUGAACCAAAUAAUAUCUGUUUUGGGUUUUCUAGGGCAAUCGGCAGGAGUCUCAUUUGUUUGUAUGACGACAUUUGCAAGAGGUCAACUGAGCUGCCCAGAUCAACCAAAAUCCUUCUUACAUCAAACCCAUUUAUCCCUAAUGUUAGAACUAGGGCGUCUUCAUGUGGUUGUAGUACUCGGUUGGGGUUUACUGGAGGGAAGGUUAUUAUCCCGUCCAUUAGGCAUGCACCUUGAUUACUACUCAAAAAGUGUUAUUUCAUAGCUUGUAAUUAACUCUUUUAAACACUUUUGAGUAGUAGUUAUUGCCUUUUAACCCAAUUAACAUGUUAAGGACCCUUGCAAUCACUUCUAAUCAAUUUGUGUUAAGUUUUGGUGUUUUGAUAGCUUUUUUAUCACCAAAGCAAUCCGAGAUUGAGGAGAGUUAUUUGGAAUCUAUGGCAAAGCAAUGGAAAGCUCAGAAACAUGAAGAACCAAAGCUUUGAAGUCCUUUGUCAUAAGCAAAUCCGGAAUGCAAGGAGGAGAAGCAAAGAGAAAUCUGCCAUGAAGCAUUCUUGAUGAUAGCCAUGUCAGCCACUUUUAGAGCACUUCCUGAAGUCUAAUUUAUGCAUGCUAUAUGUCGUUUCGAAGCUCAGGAAGUCAACAAUCCAAUGCUUCAAAUGGUGUUCAAUUUGGAGUUGAAAUGAAGGAAUUACAGCCAUUACAAGUUGAUCACUCUAAGUUGAAGGAAGAAUUUUGCACAGCGCUGCGAAAUCACCCUUUUGUUGCGAGAUGAUUUCGCAGCCUUUUUGUACAGUGCUGUGGAUUCUCCCCUGAAGUUUCCCGUCACAAUGGAAGCCGAAUACCGCAAGCUGAAAGCCAACUUCGCAGCGCUGCGAAAUCAGCCUUUUGCUGCGAAGUGAUUUCGCAGCCCUUUUUGUGCUUCUACGAAAUCUCGUAGACCUCGUUUUCACCUGCGAAAUGGUCCUUAGUGCUUCCCGAUAUUUGUGACCGACACUUUUGGAUAUUUUGCUUCAGAUUUUUGAUAACUAAAUCCUCAUUUUCUCCUUGUAACCCACCAAUUAUAGGAUUUCUUAGUUAUUAAGUUUGGCAAAGGGGUGAAUAACCUUAGAUAUUUUGUUUUGUAAUUUUCUUUAUAUAUAGCUCUCGGGAGCUUGUUCUUAUAUAGAAUUAUGUAAUCCGACGGGAUAUAGAUUUAUAAAUAUAUAGAAUAUACAGAGCCUUGCUCUGUUUUUUCUUUCUCUUUCAUUUUCAUUUUCUUGCUAAUCAAACUCUGAAGAUUUUUCCUCAGAUGAUGAGAGGCUAGGCUCUUCGUCUCUUGGAGCUAAGGUAACCGGGUAAGUUUUCCACAUGCAUAAAUUGGAAGUUUUGUUGUUUUAGUUUUUAAUGAAGAGAAAGUGUGACCCGUUAAUGGUUUUUAUCUUUUUAGUUAACUUAAAACGCCUUUAAUUCACCUGAGCCAACACUUGGUAAGGCAAGUGAUCUCCGUCCAUGGAGAUGCACUAGUUUAUCUCUUGCGAGCUUUUGGUAGGUGGUUUGAAGGUAGGAUUUUCUAGAAUAGCCAACACUUGUUAAGAUUUUGGACUCCAAUGAGACAUCCAUUAGUUAUCUCUUGCGAGCUUUUGAUGGGUAAUCCAAGGUUAAAGAUCACCUUGAAUGACAAAUGCUAGGUGAGAGGCACGAGUCAUUGCAAGGUGCAUCAAUGAGAGGGAUUUAGUGUUUGAACCCAUUAAUGGGAAGUAUCUGUACAACACUGGUUAGAGAAUUAACUACAUGUUAAUUCUCUAAUGCGAGGAAAAGAAACAAGUGACCAGAACUCUCCUUUUUGUAUGAGGAAUCUGAGCCUAGUGAUCUGAAACUCCAAGAAACACUUUUCUUUGUAAGUAAAAUCAGUUGCUAUUUUUGGUUAGUUUAAAACCAAACUUUUUUCAUUCAAACAUCUUUAUGUUUUCUUUUAAAGCUAACCUUGAAAUGAAAAGGCACCAAUUCAGCUUUGAAUUAAUAUCAUUUGCAAAGUGAAAACCCAUCCCAGUGAACGAUCCUAGAGCCACUAUGCUAUAAUAGCUUUGUCUUUGCUAUCCUAGUAAAUGGUGUAAUAGGUUAUAAAUUUUGUUGAUUACUCCCUCAAUCAAGGAGCACCAGCUGGACACGAAUCAACUGAGACACCAAUUGGGCAUGAAUCACACCUUCACUCGGCAAACUAUGUUGGAUAGAGCUAACCUACUCCCUCACGAAAGCCACUCGUAGCAAUCUUUGUCUCUUUUGUUUGGAAUUGUAUUUUUCGUCAACGAGACCCCCAUGAAUGUAGUUGAUGAUAGCUCUAAGAGCUUCCGAAGUUGUGGACACUUGGAUAGCCAAAUCCCGGGUGGUUUCCCUUUGUCCUUCGAUUGAGCGGAUGUAUCAUUUUAAGUGCUUGGCCUUAAUUAGUCUUUCCACUAAGUAGUGGAAACUUCUGCAUUGUUUCGUGGUGUGGCCAUGAUCUUUGUGAUAGGCACACUUCCUGUUCUAAUCCCGUUUCGUCGAAUCUGUCUUAAUUGACUCUGGCCAUCUAAAAUCAGACAGAUCACAAAUCAUGGGAAGGAGUUUGUCGUAUGAAAUGCUAAGGGGGGUCAGACUAGCUUGGCUUGGCUGCUGCUGGUCGUCUCGCUUCUUGCUGACUUGCCUUAGUUGGUUUGAGAGCUUAGAAUUUUCGGCAUGAUCGUUCCUGGCGGAUCGACGAGUGACCAGGACCUGCUGUGUAGUCUUACAAACAUCGUCUUCAAGAUGGAGUACUUGUUUACUCGUUUGAAUAGGUCAUCCAUUGUCGCUGAUAGUUUCUUAACGAGAGAUUCGAAGAAAUGCGUACUCGGACAAAUGCUUCUUUUGAAGAUUUGUAGGAUGACGUCCAUGCUACAAGACUCUACUUGGAGCACGACCUGUCCGAACAGUUUCACAAACUCCCUCAAUGAUUCAUUUUCCUACAUUUUUAUGUUUUGCGGGGUACUUAUGUUCUAUUUGUCAUGCCGAGCAUAGGUAGUGUCCCACAAAGGCUUCUGAUAGAUCCUAGAAAUUACUCACAAAAUUCUUUAGGAGAUGGUGGAACUACGAAAGGGCCUAGCCAUGUAAGCUAGUUGGAAAGACUUUGCAUAAUAGCACAUCGUUCCCUAUGUUGAGGGUCAUGAGCUGCCUAUAAUGCAUGAUAUGAUCAAACAGAUCACUUGUUUCGUCAUAUGUCAUGAAUUUUGGUACCAUGAACCCUCUUGGGGGCUAGUAGUUGAUGAUGUAAAGGCUAAAAAGCAUGGAGAGCAUGUCACCCAAUCGUCUACUGACAGAGCCAAGCAGUCCUCGUUCUGUCAGAGCCCCUACUUGUUGUUAUGCUGGUGGACGAGAAGGCCAUUCUAGCAUGACCAUUGUAAUCGAGAAACCAAGGCAGGCUUCCUGGGUCGCUGCUACACAUGGUUUCCCUUCCAUGCCAGGUGUCUGAGGUCUUAGCCGAGCUCACAUUGUGUCUGAUAGUUGUGACCUUCUAUCACACCUCUUUUUUGUGGAGAUGUGGGUAGAGUCAGAGCUUUCAUCUAACAGUGCUUGGCAAGUUGGUAGAAACUUUUCUUUAGGUCGUAUCUCCUGGCUACCAGAGAUGAACUUUGCGUCCCUAAGAAAUGACAUUUUUUCGUUUUGUUUGGAGUUUGUUCACUGGCUCUUAGGCUGUCGGCUACGAGGGGGGCUUGACGAAGACACCUGGAUGCGUAACACUUCAAUUUCUUCUCUAAGUCUCCUUGUCUCACAGAGCAAGGACUGUACCUGUCGUUUGCUCUCUUGUUGGCGUCUUUCCAUGUUUUCACACUAGUCGAAGUAGCCAUCGCUACCCAUGGCUGAUGAUCGGCUCCUUGAGGGCGUCGACAUUCUUAACAUUUCCCACAAAUAGCACCAAUGUUGAUGCGAGGUUAACUGGAGUCAGAUCCGCCUUAUGUUGUGCCACUGAGAGCUUUUACCCAGCAACAAGGGACUAAGUGAGCUUUUUCCCUACACAAAGGAUGUCCGGACAAGGUGUCUGAGCACGCCCCUCUGAAGCUUAAGUCAGACACAGGUAGGUUAGAGCUUAUAGGGAGAAAAUGAAUAAACUAGCUUAGGUGUGCAUACCUGGGUUAUGCUUUAGGAAGACUUUUUAUAGUGCUCAAGAGAAAGUUAAUGUAGUGCUGAGUAGAUACUUUGACCUUCACUGUAAUAAUGGUUAUCCUGCAGGUGGCAGAGCAAUCAUUGCAGUUUAGGGCAACUAGCAAGUUCCAUCAAAUGAUGUGUCAUAAUGUAGCUGCCCAUCAUUUCAACCUUCUGGAGAUAUGAGGCAAUGUGUGAUAAUUUGUUGACAUCAAGGAUGAAAAUAUCGGUAAUUACGGAUAUAUCGAUAUUUCGAUUUUACGGAUAUAUCGAUAUUUCGAUUUUACGGAUAUAUCGGAAAUAUAUCGAUGGAUAUUUUGAUAUAAAAUAUUAGUAGACCUAAAAUUGACCAAAACUUAUAAAAAUAUAAAAUAAAACUUUUAGAAAUGAAAUUAAAAUAUAAUAGAUAUUUUAAAAUUAUUUUAUUAAAUAAAUUAAUGUAUAUAUAAUAUUGUACGUGUCAAUAAAAAAAUAUAAAUUUGAUAAGUGUAUAUUGAUUAUUAAAUUAUAUUAAAUAUUAUUUGAUCAUUAUAUUGUGAUAUUUGAUUAUAAUAUAUUUCGAUGGAUAUUUUAACACAAAAUAUCGGUAAAUCUAAAAUUGAUCAAAACUUAUAAAAAUAUAUUAAAAAAAACUUUUAAAAAUAAAAUUAAAAACAUAAUAGACAUUUUAAAGUUAUUUUUUCGAAUAAAUUGAUAUAUAUAUAUAUAUAUAUAUAUAUAUAUAUAUAUAUAUAUAAUAUUGUACAUGUUAAUAAAAAAUAUAAAUUUGAUAAGUGUAUAUUGAUUAUUGAAUUAUAUAAAAUAUUAUUUGAUGAUAAUAUUGUGAUUAUAAUAUGUUUAAUUUUAAAAUCUGUUUAAUAUUAAAAUAGUGAUAUAUUAUAAAAUAAAUGAUAAUAAAUAUAUAAAAUAUUAAUAUAUUAAUAAUAUUAAAAACUCUAUGAAUAAAAUUAUGAUAUUUUUUACUAAUCAAUUAAAUGAAAAUUUUUCAUUUAAUUAUAAAAUAGUCAUAAUUAAUUUGUUAUUUAAAGUGUUUUUUUAAUAUUUUAUUUAUAUUCUAAGUUUUAAUAUAUAUUUCUUUAGAGUGUCAUAUUUAUCAAAGAGCAUGUUUGCCCUAGUGGAACUGGGCCUGACAUAGAAAUCUUUUGUUGGGGGUUCGAAUCCCCCCAACAGCAGGAAGAAAAAAAGCUUAAUUUUGACCGUUGACCGCCUGUGUUGACCGAGCGUUGACCGGCGAUAUAUCUCUGCUGCACCCACCGACACACCGAUAUUUCGCCGAAAUAUCGCCUAAUUCCAAAGGGAAUGAUUACACGUAGCAAGGGAGUUCCGAGCACUGUGGCAAUUAUCUGGACAAUGCUGAGGGAAGUGACGCAUGGACUGACACGUGGAAGGUCCCUACAAUUACUACUCCUCAUUCACGUCUACCAAACAGGCCUUUGGGAUGAAAAUUAUAUACGUCAAUUCCAAGUUUCCAACCCAACACAAUUAUAUUAUUCACCUAAAUCACACUAAACCCAAUUUCCAUUUUUUUGGUGCAUCCAACCUGGAAUAUGUACAUUUUAAUGUAAUUCCUGCACAAAUGAGAAAAGUGAAUAAGCCAUCUUCCUCGACAUUCUUCUUGUAAAUUGAAGAGCAAGAUUUAUUUAUUUAUUUAUUUAUUUGCAUUUUAAAAACCAAUGUGAAAUUUGUCUUUUGAUUUUGAGCAUCCAUGAUGCCGAUAUGUACAUUUCAAUUACCACAUGAAGCAGGAAGUUCAAUCUUAAAUACCGAACAUCAAGCAGAAACCACUACACCCAGUAGAUGUAGAUUUUAAUAUUCAAUGGGUUCAUUCCAAUUGCCACAUUAUUUUCAGCAACCAGAACUCAAAAAAAGCCACACAAAUAACACGAUUAUAAGGAUAUGGGGGAUCGGAUACCUUAUUUUAUUUCCCAGUAUAAUUUUGAGACAAUCAAAUUCUGAGCUGCAGAGUCUGAAAUCCAAUAAAGGAGCUUUGGAGUCUAUGGUGGUGUACCGGGAUGAACCAUCACCUUCCAAAUUAAAAUUCUAGGGCUAUACCACAAACAGAAUUCUGAGAUGUAUUGGGUAUUACAUGAUGAAUAACCCAAGAAAACUAGUACCGUAGAAGAGCUUCAAAGGGAAGAGAAAAUGGGAACACCCGGCAGGGUUGCGCCUGCAUCGACAUUGAAAACGUUACCUGAUAUGUAUCGUGAAGAAUCAUGAAUCAAGUAUCGCACCAGGGAUGUCAAUGCAGGGUCCGAUGUUCCAUAGGCCCGCAAGGGGCAUGUUCUCUGAACCACAGUGUUGAGCCAGUCUUUUUGCAUAAGGCCCGCAGUUAUCUCCGAUUUGAAUAUUCCAGGUGCUAUUGCAUUCGCUCUAAUAUUGUAUGCCCCCAAUUCCAAAGCCAUUACCUGGAAUUGUUAUUAUUUGGAAAAAAAAUAAAUAAAUAAUCAUUCUUCAGUGCCAGACUCAGAUGAGUGUGUAGGAAUAAAGGUUCUACAACAUUUUUGCAUGGAAAAACAGUUGAAGAUGGCAGGAAAUAUACAAUAAAAUGUCGAAUCGAAAUAAGUAUAAUGCUAUAUAAACACAAGCCCUUAACCAGAUUUACAGAAAAUGACUUACAUCUUGGAUAGACAAACUGUACGUAUCAUGCAAAAGCGGAGAAUAAUAUUGGGAUUUUUUGCAUGGGAAGCAAGGUGAGAAGAAUAUUGACUUUUUGUACAUUGAUUUUUAUCUUCUCUUUUUAUACAUUUUAUAUACUCCUCAUGCUUAUUAAAAAAAAAAAAAGACAAAAAUAAUAUUAAAAAUUAAAAAUAAAAUAACAAGACAAGCAUAAUAUAGUGAACAUAAACAUUUGACUACAUUUUCACAAUAUAUUUAAAUCUAACGUUGAAUUUCCUAACUCACCUUUGUUUGCCAGAAUAUAUUAGAAACAAAUUUAAAACAUGUCAGAGAUAUUACCUUUGUCAUGGCGCUCAAGCCUGACUUGGAAGACACAUAGGCUACUGCUCCAGGUGACUGUCCCCGAUUAAGAGAAACAAUGGAAGAAAUAUUGAUGAUUGAUCCUCCAUUCUUGGCAUCCCUCAUGCGCAUACCGACAUAUUUUGACACCAACCAUGAUCCCGUCAAGUUUGUCUUCAGAGUAUUGUUCCAUUCCUCCUCAGAUAUAUCCAGAGGAGAGUUCACAUUGCCUAAGGCACACAGGGCACAGGGCAUGGGUUAAAUACAUCUACCACGCAUUACGUUCACAAAUAUUAGCAGAACACCAGAGAUAAAUUAAAUGAGUAAUAUUGAUGAGAAAAAUAUAUGUGAUUGACUCGGUAUAGAUACCCAGUUGACUUGGUAUAGAUACCCAGUUGACUCGCUGAUUAGUUUCAAAUUUCAGUUAGAACUGAAUGAAAUGAAACGUGCGCUAGAAUUGACAGUAUGAGAAAAACAAGGUUUCCAAAAGUCAGCUGCAAAACGGGAAAUUCAGGAUACAGGAAUAUCAGGAUCGUGCAAAAUCAAAAUUUACCUCUAAUGCCCGCAUUAUUUAGCAAA
rnacentral:lncRNA from 1 species